rnacentral:rRNA from 1 species
UCGCCAGACUCCUACGGGAGGCAGCAGUAAGGGAUAUUGGUCAAUGGGGGAAACCCUGAACCAGCAACGCCGCGUGAGGGAAGACGGUUUUCGGAUUGUAAACCUCUGUCCUCUGUGAAGAUGAUGACGGUACCUGCAAAGGAAGCACCGGCUAACUCCGUGCCAGCAGCCGCGGUAAUACGGAGGGUGCGAGCGUUAAUCGGAAUUACUGGGCGUAAAGCGCUCGUAGGCGGUAUGUCAAGUCAAGGGUGAAAUCCCCGCGCUCAACGUGGGAACUGCCUUUGAAACUGGCAAACUGGAGUGUGUGAGAGGAUAGUGGAAUUCCAGGUGUAGGAGUGAAAUCCGUAGAUAUCUGGAGGAACAUCAGUGGCGAAGGCGACUAUCUGGCACAUAACUGACGCUGAGGAGCGAAAGCGUGGGUAGCAAACAGGAUUAGAUACCCGUGUA